rnacentral:rRNA from 1 species
UACGUAGGGUGCGAGCGUUGUCCGGAAUUAUUGGGCGUAAAGAGCUUGUAGGCGGUUUGUCGCGUCUGCCGUGAAAAUUCGAGGCUCAACCUCGAACUUGCGGUGGGUACGGGCAGACUAGAGUGUGGUAGGGGAGACUGGAAUUCCUGGUGUAGCGGUGAAAUGCGCAGAUAUCAGGAGGAACACCGGUGGCGAAGGCGGGUCUCUGGGCCUGCACAUGCGUCAUGCACGAAAGCGUGGGGAGCAAACAGG